rnacentral:rRNA from 1 species
CACCUACGGGGGGCAGCAGUGGGGGAUAUUGAACAAUGGGGGGAACCCUGAUCCAGCGACGCCGCGUGAGUGAAGAAGUAUUUCGGUAUGUAAAGCUCUGUCAGCAGGGAAGAAAGAAAUGACGGUACCUGACCAAGAAGCCCCGGCUAACUACGUGCCCGCAGCCGCGGUAAUACGUAGGGGGCAAGCGUUAUCCGGAAUUACUGGGUGUAAAGGGAGCGUAGACGGUUAAGUAAGUCUGGAGUGAAAGGCCGGGGCCCAACCCCGGGACUGCUUUGGAAACUAUUGAACUU